AUUGAACGCUGGCGGCAUGCCUUACACAUGCAAGUCGAACGGUAACAGGUCUUCGGAUGCUGACGAGUGGCGAACGGGUGAGUAAUACAUCGGAACGUGCCUAGUAGUGGGGGAUAACUACUCGAAAGAGUGGCUAAUACCGCAUGAGAUCUACGGAUGAAGCAGGGGAUCGCAAGACCUUGUGCUACUAGAGCGGCCGAUGGCAGAUUAGGUAGUUGGUGGGAUAAAAGCUUACCAAGCCGACGAUCUGUAGCUGGUCUGAGAGGACGAUCAGCCACACUGGGACUGAGACACGGCCCAGACUCCUACGGGAGGCAGCAGUGGGGAAUUUUGGACAAUGGGCGCAAGCCUGAUCCAGCAAUGCCGCGUGCAGGAUGAAGGCCUUCGGGUUGUAAACUGCUUUUGUACGGAACGAAAAGCCCUGGGUUAAUACCCUGGGGUCAUGACGGUACCGUAAGAAUAAGCACCGGCUAACUACGUGCCAGCCGCCGCUGUAAUAC
rnacentral:rRNA from 1 species